rnacentral:rRNA from 1 species
GCCUUGGAGUGGGGAAUAACGGUUGGAAACAGCCGCUAAUACCGCAUGAUGCAGCUGAGUCGCAUGGCUCUGGCUGCCAAAGAUUUAUCGCUCUGAGAUGAGCUCGCGUCUGAUUAGCUAGUUGGCGGGGCAACGGCCCACCAAGGCGACGAUCAGUAGCCGGACUGAGAGGUUGGCCGGCCACAUUGGGACUGAGACACGGCCCAGACUCCUACGGGAGGCAGCAGUGGGGAAUAUUGGGCAAUGGGCGCAAGCCUGACCCAGCAACGCCGCGUGAAGGAAGAAGGCUUUCGGGUUGUAAACUUCUUUUAUUCGGGACGAAGAAAGUGACGGUACCGAAUGAAUAAGCCACGGCUAACUACGUG